rnacentral:rRNA from 1 species
CAAUAGCGUAUAUUAAAGCUGUUGCGGUUAAAAAGCUCGUAGUUGGAUUUCUGUCAAGGACAACUGGUCCGCCCCUCGGGUGAGCACAUAGUUUGGUCUUGGCAUCUUGUUGGAAACUGUUGCUGCACUUGGUUGUGUGGCGCAGUGUCCAGCACUUUCACUUUGAGGAGAUUGGAGUGUUUCAAGCAGGCACAUGCCUUUGGACACAGUAGCAUGGAAUAAUUAGAUUGGGCUUUUGCUCCAACUUGUCGGUUUCUGGAGCUGAGGUGAGAAUUAAUGGGGAUUGUUGGGGGCAUCCGAAUUUAGCCGUCAGAGGUGAAAUUCUUGGAUCUGCUAAAGACGGACAACUGCGAAAGCGUUUGCCCAGGAUGUUUUCAUUGA